rnacentral:misc_RNA from 1 species
GUGAAUCAUCAAAUCUUUGAACGCAAAUUGCGCCUUUUUCGGAAGGCAUGUCUGUUUUAGGUCACCAUUUAACAAAUAAUGUGCAGCGUUUUUUGCUUCAUAGUUGAUGAGCUUUCCAAGAAUUAUAAAUUUUUGGUGUCUCAUAAUGAACAGCGUGAAAGUUUUUUUCAUUUCGAGUGUAGUAAAAUCCCUGCUUGGGUUGUGAAAAAACAUAAUCGCGCAAUGGGUGGGGCAAUUUCUUUUGAUCCCUGCCCCAAUGCCACUCUUUCUCAC